rnacentral:rRNA from 1 species
UACGAAGGGUGCAAGCGUUAAUCGGAAUUACUGGGCGUAAAGCGCAUGUAGGCGGUCAUAUAAGUUAUAGGUGAAAUCCCCGGGCUUAACCUGGGAACUGCCUGUAAAACUGCAUGACUAGAAUACUGUAGAGGGUGGUGGAAUUUCCUGUGUAGCGGUGAAAUGCGUAGAUAUAGGAAGGAACAUCAGUGGCGAAGGCGGCCACCUGGACAGAUAUUGACGCUGAAGAGCGAAAGCGUGGGUAGCGAACAGG